rnacentral:miRNA from 1 species
UGAGGGAGUUGAGUGUAUA